rnacentral:snoRNA from 1 species
AUGGCACUAAAUGUCCACGCUUGCAGUGUUAAUCACAGUAAGUGUUACUGCGGAUUAGUGCAACAGAAAAGUACAGAUAUGGCGUUCUGGACUAGCUUAUGUAGCAAGUACGGGUGCAAAUUUUGUACUACAAGUUU